rnacentral:rRNA from 1 species
UACGUAGGGUGCAAGCGUUGUCCGGAAUUAUUGGGCGUAAAGAGCUCGUAGGCGGUCUGUCGCGUCUGCUGUGAAAACUCGGGGCUUAACCCCGGGCCUGCAGUGGGUACGGGCAGACUAGAGUGCGGUAGGGGAGACUGGAAUUCCUGGUGUAGCGGUGAAAUGCGCAGAUAUCAGGAGGAACACCGAUGGCGAAGGCAGGUCUCUGGGCCAUAACUGACGCUGAGAAGCGAAAGCAUGGGGGAGCGAACAGG